rnacentral:rRNA from 1 species
CCAUGGGCAGGUUGAAGGUUGGGUAACACUAACUGGAGGACCGAACCGACUAAUGUUGAAAAAUUAGCGGAUGACCUGUGGCUGGGGGUGAAAGGCCAAUCAAACCGGGAGAUAGCUGGUUCUCCCCGAAAGCUAUUUAGGUAGCGCCUCGUGAAUUCAUCUCCGGGGGUAGAGCACUGUUUCGGCUAGGGGGCCAUCCCGGCUUACCAACCCGAUGCAAACUGCGAAUACCGGAGAAUGUUAUCACGGGAGACACACGGCGGGUGCUAACGUCCGUCGUGAAGAGGGAAACAACCCAGACCGCCAGCUAAGGUCCCAAAGUCAUGGUUAAGUGGGAAACGAUGUGGGAAGGCCCAGACAGCCAGGAUGUUGGCUUAGAAGCAGCCAUCAUUUAAAGAAAGCGUAAUAGCUCACUGGUCGAGUCGGCCUGCGCGGAAGAUGUAACGGGGCUAAACCAUGCACCGAAGCUGCGGCAGCGAACGUAUCACCCAAGACAACUUUACGGAGUUGACGAUUGACGGAGCGAAGCGACGUCAAAGCGUUCAUUAAAGUCGAGUUGGCUUAGGGAUACGUUCGUUGGGUAGGGGAGCGUUCUGUAAGCCUGUGAAGGUGUGUCGUGAGGC